rnacentral:lncRNA from 1 species
CUUUCCCAGUCAAAGCAUUGGAUAAGUGACCCUAAAGUCAAUCCCAUCACUCGUUGAGCAAGACCAGCUCCUGGACAAGAUCUUCUGCCCAAUCCAAAUGGCACAAGCUUCUUCGCCUCUUCUUCUCCUUUAUCAAAUCUUUCAGGUUUGAAACUCAUUGCAUCAUCCCACAAUUUAGGAUCUCUAUGUAUAGCCCAUGCAUUCACCAAUAGCAUGGUGCCACGCGGCACGUCAUAUCCUCCAAUUUUGCAAUCUUCAGAUGACAUAUGGGGAACCAAAAGUGGAGCUGCUGGGUUUAGUCUAAGAGUCUCAGAUAUAAUGUUUUGAAGAUAAAGUAAUUUGGGAAGAUCAGGUUCAUCUAUUAAGCUUUCUUUCCCCAUUUGAAUGUCUAUUUCUUCUCUAGCCUUUCUUAGUGAGCUUGGAUGGUUGAGUAGAUAAGACAUUGCCCAUUCUAAUGUCACUGCUGAUGUGUCUGUUCCAGCAAAUACCAUAACCUGUUGAAAAAUAAUUGAAAAUAGAGAUAAGAUUAAUAAUUUUGCAAAAUAAAAGAAAAGGUUUUUAGUUUACAAUUAUUAAGUGUAAACCUAUUCGGGAGACAGCAUAAAUUAAUAACAAAGAAGAAUGACUAACCUGUAUGAGCCCUUUAAUAAUCUCAUCUGUAUAAUACUCAGGCUGCGACUCUUGCAAAGAAAGAAGAUGAUCAAUCAUAGUAUUCUUAUUCUCUAAGUUGCCCUUCUUGCUUCUAUGUUCAUCAAUCAAUCCUUGAAAAAAAUUGUCAAAUCUUUUAGCAAAUCCUUUAAUUCUUUUCCUGAGAUAACCACCGUCAAUCCAAUUCAAGAUGGGCAAGAAAUCCGCUGGAUUUGAUGCUCCAGCAUAAGCAACAACCUUCUUCAUUAACUUUCUGAACUCCCUCGCCUCUUCUUCAUUACUCACAUCAUCACCAUAAUAUCUCUUCCCUGCAACCAUUCUUAUCAUAAUAUUGAACGUUAGUUCUUGGAACAUCGACUUUAAUUCUACUUUACAAAAAUCCUGCAUAGAAUUAAUAGAUAAUUUCAUAAUUAGUCUCUUGAUCUCGUCUUUUCUAAUGCUUAAAAGCGUAUUAAGACGAUGAGCUGAGAAAAUUUCAAUAGCCCCGACGCGGCGGAGGUUACGCCAGUGGUCGCCGUACGGUGCCUGAGUCAUGGUGGUGUAGUUAUAAGAUAUGUGUUUGGCCAUGAGUAAUCUUGGACGGUUAGCAAAAACGAUGUCGUUUUUGGUGAAGCAUUCCUCGGCGAUGGACAAUGAAGAGACGAUGAUUAGAGGUCGGGAACCGAAUCGAAGGAAGAUGACGGGGCCAUAAGUUUGAGCUAGAGAGUGGAGAAUACGGUGCAUCGGUGGCUUUAGAAGAUAGAGGUGGCCGAUAAUCGGAAAGGAAGGUGGACUAGGAGGAAGAUUUUUACGGUGUACUUUUGAUUGGCAAAAUUUUAUAACAAGAAAAAGGAGAAGAAAGGAGGAGGAGAAGUAGAGCACUGUGUAGUGUUCCAUGUUUGUUGUUUUCUUGGAGUAUUAUUUCUUGAUGAAAAUGUGCCAAAGGAAAUGGGUUUAUAUAGAUUUUAAUUAGAAUAGUCCAAAAAUAAUUUAGACAUGGAUUUCUUACGAAAAAUUAGGUAUUCCAAUAAGUGUUAGUUGACUUAACUAUUAAUUAUUGAAAUAGCUUUUUAAAAUGUUAAAAGAUAAAACUAAACGUUACUUUUAUAAAAUAUUAUUUUAAUCUUUAAAAAUUACCUCAAAUGCUAUGCUAGAAAAAAUAAAAUUUAACGUUUUAACUAGUUAAAACGUUAAAGUUGCCGUUAAAUACAGCUAUAGACAGACUAUAUAUAUUUGUUAAAAUAAGGAAAGAGAAUAAAGAAAUAAACUAUUACAUCAUUUUGCAUAAGCAACUUCAUUAAUAUUACAAAAGAGCCAUGGCCGAAUAUUGCACGAGAUCUUAUUAAACAUGUGCAAACUCAUUUAAGAAAACUAAAAAGUAAAAUUAGGUAAUCAAUAUGUAUAAAAAUUAGUCUCGCAUUAAAUAUGAGAAAAAUAAAUAGUCCAAUCUAGAGAAAAAUUAUUGAAUAAAUGAUGCCAAAGUAUGGAUUGACGUAGAAGAAUCAGAAUUCACUUGGGUAUUGCAUCAUAUUAUUUCCGUUCCAUGAUACUUAUCACAUUUGAAAAAAUAAUUUAUUCAAAAAUAUUUGUUACAAUUAUAAUUUUAAAAACUAAUAAAUAUUUUUUUUUAUAUUCACCAUUUGUAUAUGAUCAGUAAUUAUUAAUUCCAUUUGAUGGUUUUUUUAGAGAAUUAAUAUUAAAUUAAUGGUAAUAUAGAAUUUAUUUAAUAAUUUAUUGUAAUUUAGACAAAUUUAAUAAUUUUUUUAAAAGAAUUUAAAAUUUCAAAUGCGAUAAGUAUUAUGGAACAGAAUGAGUAAUUUAUAAAAAAAAAAUUAAAAGAUAUAUAUAGUAAAAGGAGGUUAAUCUAUUAAUUUUGCGUGCAAGUUUUCUUAUAAUGUAAAUAAGAGGUAAUGGAAAUUAAAAGGUCGACAUUUAUUAAGCCCCAGUCAUUUUUUUUUUUCUAAUUUCUAAAAAUUGAGAGUUAAAGAAUAAAACGAAAGUAUUUUAAUCGAACAGUUGUUAAAUUUAUUUAUUUGUGAUAUGAUGAGCUAGCGUUUAUGAACUCCGCAGACAAAUCCAUUUCGGGUAGGUUUAAUAUUUAUCUAUUUUGGUGUAUUACGUCAUUGAGUACGCAAGCGAUUAAAUUAACUCUGUAUAAGGCAAAGACAUAUCCUGUCGUCGUUGCGUCUGUAGCGGCUUUGAACACGUGGUAGAAUAAAAUUUUUUAUUAAAACGAAAAUAUUUUUUAUUAUAUAUUAAAAAAAUAAAAUAAAAUUGAAAUGCUUUUUACAAAAUUUAUAUUGUGAGUGAUGUGGUCCAUGCUUGUGGCAAUAAUUUCCUAGACAGUGGAAGACAAUAAUAAAACGGUUUGAACAACGUAUUGCCAUACGCACCAUAAGGCUUUUUCCUUUGUUUUUCUUUUCUUUUUUUUUUUUUUUCCCACUAAAAUAAUUUCUUUGUAAGAACAACUUACGAAAGAGACAAGAUUUUAAAAUAAUUUUCCAAGGUAAGGUUGGUCCCAAGCUACAAUAUUCGAAUAACAAAAUAGCGAUCGCAAUCUCCACUGUUUAACCAUUUUUUUUAAUUGAUUAAAUAAUAAAGCUUUAUAAGAUACGUUUAAUUAUAAAACUUUCACUUUAUUAUUUCUUAAUUCAAAAAUUUUCCAUUAAACUUUAAAGUUUUAUCUAAAAAUUCAUCAUUCCCUUGAACUUACUAUUUUUUUAACCAACCAUACAUCAAAUCAAGCUAAUAAAAUUUUCGCAUAGUGCAAGAGCUUGGAAUAGUGCAAGAGAAUCAGUUUCAGACAUAACAUUGUGGAUACUUUUGCCCUUAAACCAUCUUGUUAAACAUAACUCAAUAGACCAACUUGGAAUUUAUGUUUGUCAAUUAAUAAAAAAACUAAAGAUUAACAAGCUAGGAUAAUGCAUAUAACUAAAGUAAUGAUUAAAGAGAUAAUGAUAAUUCUCAAAAAAGAAAAAAGAAUAAACAGUUUCUAUGGAAGAAACAUCAAACAUUCAGUUUGACUUUAAUUCAUUUCAAGAUUCCGAUUAUUUUACAAAGAAAGAAAAGUAACAAGUUACCUUCUACUUGUCAGUUCUAGAUUUUCUGUGGACGUUCUUAUUUUUUCUCACGGUUUAGACGUCCAAGAACGCAUCACUAAGCUGUCGUUUCUUGGUCUAUGUAUCGCCCGGGGUGACCAUAGUUGAGAGCUUAUGUGUGAGCCCGUCCACCCCAGGAGAAUCAACCUGCAUUUUAUCUCCGUUUAUGGGGAGAGACUUCUUGUAUCCAUUAUUAUAAAGUGUCUUAGGGAAACUAUAUUUGGACUAUCCCUAAAAAUUUAUCUCUAUAUUUCCUUCAGUAGUUAAUAGUUAUCAGUAAAAGUUAUCCUCACAACCAUUUUAACUCUCACAUGAACCCUUUUAACUGCUAUAUCAGUCCAAAUUAUAGAUAGUGUUCCUCAUUCUUAUCCUGUUAGUAUAUUUGCAAUAUUAUCAUUUGGUGAAAGAAAAGAUGGGGUGAAAAGGGAAGAAUACUAUUCACUCUUUAUCAUUGAUAAAAUUCUUAUGUCUACAGACUAAAAAUAUACGUACAACUUCAUUUCAUCAAUGAAGUUAUUUAAAUCAACUUAUGGAUGAUUGGGCGUGCUUUACACAUGGCCUCUAGUGGUUCAGCCUUAGGCAUAGUUGACCCUCUACCUUCUUUCAUAUCUACUUCCUUAUCGCUAACCCUUUCCCAUUCAAAGCAUUGGAUAAGUGACCCUAAAGCCAAUCCCACCACUCGUUGAGCAAGACCAGCUCCUGGACAAGCUCUCCUUCCCAAUCCAAACGGCAUUAGCUUCUUCGCCUCUUCUUCUCCUUUAUCAAAUCUUUCAGGUUUGAAACUCAUUGCAUCAUCCCACAAUGUAGGAUCUCUAUGUAUAGCCCAUGCAUUCACCAAUAGCAUGGUGCCACGCGGCACGUCAUAUCCUUCAAUUUUGCAAUCUUCAGACGACACGUGGGGAAGUAAAAGUGGAGCUGCUGG